UGUGAGAGAGAGAGAGAGAGAGAGAGAGAGAGAGAGAGAGUUAAAUGGAAGGGUGGAGGAGAUGGUGGUGCUUCAAGAACAAUUUCCUCUUCCAAACAAAGCGUCUAGUUCUCAGUAUUACUCAAGGCCUUGCCUACAAACACAAAGGUAACUUCAGGCAUGGGCUGGUGAAACUUUAUGAGGACAAGGAGUCUUGCAGAGAAUAUGAAGAUAUCCAAGUGAUGUGGGAGAUGAUUCAUUCUUCUUUUCCAUCUACGACCC